rnacentral:lncRNA from 1 species
UCCAUUCGCACCCCUGAAUCGUUUUCUUCUGCCCCUUCCCACCGCCGCGGGCGACAUGGCGACCAGAGGCCGGUGCUAGGGUUUACGCCGCCGCCACCCCCCCUCCUCCAUUGACCCCAUACACUCGCGGGCCCUCCCUCCGUCGAGCCGCAUCUCCACCCCAGCCCUCCGCCGCGGGAGCCCGGGUCGCGGCCGUAGCUCGCCCCGCGCCCAAUCGCCGCCGAGCUUAUCCCCGAGGUAAAAGCUCCAAUAAAUUGCCCUUGGACAUACGUUUGCCGCUUAAUUCAUGUAUCCGUGCAUGUUCUGGUGUUAUGCCUGUAUGUAUGAAACGAGAACAGCAUGCGGGGGCCUAUAGAUUUACAGAAAUUGUUUGUCAUACGGUUGAUUUUUUUUUUGGGUAACAGUAGGCCUCUUAUGCCCGACGGAAGGGAUGUGUCUGACGCGCGUACGCCAGUAGUUGGCUUGGAUGGAUGCGGCGGCGAGAGUCGUUCCCCAUGCAUCCUGACUCCAAGCCAUCCGUGCGAUGUCCACCACAUCAGGACAUUAGACAGUUGGCUUCUGAGCUGCAGUGACCUUCGUUUUUUUUCACACAAAAGCUUCAGAGGCAUUUUAAGUAAAAAAGAAAAAACCCGAGAAGUGUUUCGAUCUGCUUACUUUUUGC